rnacentral:rRNA from 1 species
GGACUACCAGGGUAUCUAAUCCUGUUUGCUCCCCACGCUUUCGUGCCUCAACGUCAGAAAUGGACCAAGAAGCUGCCUUCGCCAUUGGUGUUCCUCUCGAGAUCUACGCAUUUUACCGCUACUCCGAGAAUUCCACUUCUCUCUUCCAUCCUCAAGCCUACCAGUUUCUACCGCACACUCUCAGUUAAGCUGAGAAAUUUAACAGUUGACUUAAUAAGCCGCCUACGCACCCUUUACGCCCAAUCAUUCCGAAUAACGUUCGCACCCCUCGUCUUACCGCGGCUGCUGGCAC